AAACUUAAAGGAAUUGACGGAAGGGCACCACCAGGAGUGGAGCCUGCGGCUUAAUUUGACUCAACACGGGGAAACUUACCAAGGCCAAACAGGGGUGGGAUUGACAGAUUGAGAGCUCUUUCUUGAUUCUUUGGGUGGUGGUGCAUGGCCGUUCUUAGUUGGUGGAGUGAUUUGUCUGGUUAAUUCCGAUAACGAACGAGACUCUGUCCUGCUAAAUAGUUGGGUCGUCCUUCGUGCGAUCCAAGUUCUUCUUAGAGGGACUGGCUGCGUCUAGCAGCACGAGAUUGAGCAAUAACAGGUCUGUGAUGCCCUUAG
rnacentral:rRNA from 1 species